UUUUUUAUGUGGAUGUUUCGAUUGAUUUUCGGAUGCAUGCUGUAAAUGGACCUUGUGGUGAAGUUUUGAAGACGUUUAUUAUUCAUAAAAAUAAAUAGUUUGCUUUAAUUCCAUCUGUUAUAUGCAUUGUUUGUGUGUUAAUAUUACCUUGUAGUUUAGUUAUUUUAAUCCCAUUUGUCAUCAUUGAGAUAAUUGUGUGUGGCUUCAUCUCUUGUAGAGACAUAUAAGGAUUCAGUGAAGGUGACACAUUACCUGAGCUGCAGCAGUGCAACAAGUGUUAAAGCAAUUACCAGCAAUGUUCUGCUUGACCAGCAUGUUUAAGCCAGCCAAACUGGUCAAAUUAAAAAGUCAUCUUCAAAUCCUCUUCAACAUGCAGUUGUCUGAGGAGUACAUCUUGUCUUGGGAGCACCCUUUGAUUUUACAUCUUGUGACAUUCCAAUCAUGCGGAGAUGGUGGACUCCA